rnacentral:rRNA from 1 species
AUUGCAGGCUGCAACUCGCCUGCAUGAAGCUGGAAUUGCUAGUAAUCGCGGAUCAGCAAGCCGCGGUGAAUACGUUCCCGGGCCUUGUACACACCGCCCGUCACACCAUGAGAGUCGGGAACACCCGAAGUCCGUAGUCUAACCGCAAGGGGGGCGCGGCCGAAGGUGGGUCCGGUAAUUGGGGUGAAGUCGUAACAAGGUAGC